rnacentral:rRNA from 1 species
GUCCUAGCCGUAAACGUUGGGUGCUAGGUGUGGGCGGACAUCGACCCCGUCCGUGCCGAAGCUAACGCAUUAAGCACCCCGCCUGGGGAGUACGGCCGCAAGGCUAAAACUCAAAGGAAUUGACGGGGCCCCGCACAAGCGGCGGAGCAUGUUGCUUAAUUCGAUGCAACGCGAAGAACCUUACCUGGGCUUGACAUGCAGGGUGAAACCCGUGAAAGCGGGCGCUCUUCGGAGCCUGCACAGGUGGUGCAUGGCUGUCGU